UACGGGGGGAGCAAGCGUUGUUCGGAUUUACUGGGCGUAAAGGGCGCGUAGGCGGCGCAACAAGUCACUUGUGAAAUCUCCGGGCUUAACCCGGAGCGGCCAAGUGAUACUGUCGUGCUAGAGUGCGGAAGGGGCUACUGGAAUUCUCGGUGUAGCGGUGAAAUGCGUAGAUAUCAAGAGGAACACCUGCGGCGAAGGCGGGUUGCUGGGCCGACGCUGACGCUGAAGUGCGAAAGCUAGGGGAGCGAACGGG
rnacentral:rRNA from 1 species